UUUUUGAGGAAUAUUUUGUUAUCUAGACACACCAUCCUUUGCUUCUCUAUUAUUUACUGAAGACAUCUUGUUUGUUACCAGGGUUCGGCAAAGUAACUGCAAAUAUCAUUGUGUUUGCUUUAAUGUGUACACAAUUCAACUAACUCGAAUGAAUAUGAAGGAGCAAGAUUUCUGGAUCUUAUGAAAAUAUUUAUUCAGUUUCUGCUGUGCACCAGGUACUGAGCUGGUUACUGGACGUUGUUAUUUCAUAAGUGUCUUAUGAAAUCAAGGGCAGAGCCCAAAGCCACACUUACCCUGAAUUUAUCAUUAAAAGGCCUCCAGCUCUGGGAGACAAGGAACAAGUAAACAAGAGGAACUGAUGUGACAAGAAUUUAGUGUGGCUUGCAUUGGCAUUGCAAACUGAAGAGACAGCCCACCAAACUUCCACGGGAGCCCAGGACACCAGCAAGUAAGAGAAGAAAUGGCAGUCACCGAUCUACACCCAUGUUUCCGUUCUUAUCCCUAGUCAAAAGGGGGGAGCACACCCCAGCACCUUCCCAUCUUAUAGUUGGGAAAACUGUCCACUUUACCGCUGCUUUUCCACAGUUAACAGGAUCUGAAGCUACCGGCUCAGUGGCUGGCGCUUAGCUAACUCGGACAAGGCCCAGCCCCAGAGCUUAAAACAAAUAAAUUAAUUAAUCAGUCAAUUAAUUAAUUCAGUAACAGUUGUGGAGGUAAGGAAUCAAAUAUUUCAAAGACAGGAAGAUAAUGAUUACGGUUAGUAGUCUUUAGUACAUCUACUCCUGGUUAGGUAUGGGAUCUACAGCCAGGAAAUGUGGGAAACAAAGGGGGAUUUCAGAUAGGCCAAUAAUGAACAAGCCAAUGAGCUUCAUUCUGAAAACACUAAUGAGGACAAUGACAACUCACAGUUCUCAACCUUCCUGAGGCUGCUACCCUUUAAUACGGUUGUGGUGAUCCCCAACCAUGACAUUAUUUUCGUUGCUACUUCAUAACUGCCAUUUUCCUACUGAUAUGUUAUAAAGCGUAAUGUAAA